UGCUUGGUAGUAAAUAGUAUAAUGUUUUAAUAUUUGCUUGUGUUACUCUAAAAUGAAUUAUAAAGACUCUGCAAUUAUAACAAUUGAAGGGACCUUUUAGUAAAAGAUAAGUUAUGUAUGGGGGCUUGUUUUUGCCCAUGGUUGCUUUAUAUUAUAUAUUCACUGAGCCGUGUUCACUCGCACAUUCCAGUAUUCAGAGUAUCAAUUUUCCAGUGUUUCUUGUAACGAAAAUGGAUUAGAUACUUUGGGAUAAUGCAUAUAAAGUAACUG
rnacentral:misc_RNA from 1 species